AGCAUGGCACUGAAGUUGCCAAGACGGUUGCCCUCAUCAUACCCAGGGACA
rnacentral:tRNA from 1 species